AGCAUGUGGUUUAAUUCGAUGAUACGCGAGGAACCUUACCUGGGCUCAAAUGUAUGUUUGACGUAUUCUGAAAGGGAUACUUCUUCGGACAAUAUACAAGGUGCUGCAUGGUUGUCGUCAGCUCGUGCCGUGAGGUGUCGGGUUAAGUCCCAUAACGAGCGCAACCCCUAUCAUUAGUUGCCAUCGGGUCAAGCUGGGGACUCUAAUGAAACUGCCUACGCAAGUGGUGAGGAAGGUGGGGAUGACGUCAAAUCAGCACGGCCCUUACGUCCAGGGCUACACACGUGCUACAAUGGCCGGUACAAAGGGCAGCUACCUGGUGACAGGAUGCUAAUCUCAAAAGCCGGUCUCAGUUCGGAUCGGAGUCUGCAACCCGACUCCGUGAAGCUGGAAUUGCUAGUAAUCGCGCAUCAGCCAUGGCGCGGUGAAUACGUUCCCGGGCCUU
rnacentral:rRNA from 1 species